UAGACAGGAAAGCUCUUUUUAAAAAUAGCCACAGCAGAAAGAGGUUCUUGGAAUGGAAUUCUGACCUGCCUGUGAAAUACCCCAGUUUAUGAAACACACUUGCGUCAUUGCCGAGGUUAAGCUUUCGCCGUCCCCUUUAGCUUAGUUCCUGUCAGAAGUCCCUGUUUAACCCUCCUAUGCCAGGCUCACCGCCGGGAUGCAGCCAGCUUCCUCACACGAAGCAGAACCUUGGACAUGGACUGCUAGAAAAUGGACCUGAAAAGGAGAUGCCACACACGGCCUUUGUUUUUGCUGAGACUAAGGUUGACCAUCAGUAACAAAGAUGGCAGAUGGCGAAGCCCCGGGUGGAGAGAGAACUCGCUGGCUUUCCCCUGCACCUCGCUGAGAAGGAAGGCCGCCCCGGGUGCCUCACCUGUGUGGGUGUUGACGUGGUUCCGGAGGAGGGUGACGGUGCGGAAAGCCUUCAGACACAGGUGGCACAGGUCUCCAGGCUUGAACUUCUGCUCUUUGAUUUGGGUGAAGUGCUCAGAAGGGUUAGGGACCUCAGCGGCAGCCAUGGUGACGUGCCCUGACGGAAAGAGAGCGUGCAAUCUUUACAGGGUGCAGAACGGCUGACGCCUGCGGACCUUGAUCGAGCCUUUACUCAAGCAGCUCCGGGUGCCAUCGGACAGGUGGAGCCAGGGCAGACGCUCAGAGAUGGAAGGCUGGAGGCACAUGCCAGGAGGCCUGGACCUCCGUGGGACCAUAGGUCCCUUUCAGGUCUUUCCACUUGAUAAUGUUCCCAAUAGAAGCAUUCUUUGUGGGCAGGUAGGUGGUGAAGUGAAGUGGAUGGAAAAGAGAAUGGAAAUUGGGGGGUGAUGGUGUGGCAGUGCAAACCCCAAGGUCAACAGGACCUUCCCUCAGAACCCCUCACAAUCGUUGGAGUUUUUUUUUUUCUUGCAUUUCCACAGCUAGGUGUUUUGCUUUACCGCUGUAAAGGUAGGGCUCUUAACAUUUAGCACAUUUCAAAAUUGUAAUCUAGUUUGCUGGUUGUGAAUAAACACAUUUGUAUGUUGGGGUAAGUCUCAAAGGAGAGCACACAGUUUGAGGAACAGGCUUUAAAAAAAAAAAAGUGACCUACCCGGUUUUCAUAGUCUUGAUUCAAACACACUCCCUAACACACCUGGGUGUGGACCUCCCUCGUAUCUGCAGCCAAGGAGUUUUUCCACGUCUACACGGAUGCUUUCUCUCUUAACCUGUUCCCCCAGCACUUCCUCAGAGCUGUUUGUCUCUUUUGCAUAUGUUAUACACUCAAAGAUUUUUUUUUUUUAAAUUCUAAUAGUGCUCAAGACAAUUUUAUCAGAAAUUCUCAUACCAUUCAUGAGUUAGAUUCUUAGGCUUUCUCCUCACAUCUGAGAUUUGUGUGGGUGGAGUGUGUCUGUGUGUGUGGUGUGUUUGUGUGUGUUAUGAGUCUCUCGUGUGUGUGUGUGUGUGUGUGUGUGUGUGUGUGUGUGCAUGCGAGUGCUGGAACUUGAGCUGGGAAGAUAAAUAUUUGGAGAGCCUAGUGAAGAGUGCCGUAAGAACUUUUUAAAAGAAUCACUUAGAUGACUUUUUCUGCUUGAACAGUAUGCACUUGUUCGGGGUCUUCAUGGGUAAUUUUGCAGCUAGAGGAUUUUCUUAGGAUAUACAUUAUAGAUUGAUGUUGAAAUUAAAAAAAAUAAUUAAAAACUCCACUGCAACUCUCUCUCGACUAUGGCCCAGCUGAACUAUUUUUUUCAUUAUUGUUUUUCAUUAAUUAUUUAUUUUGAGUCAGGGUCUCCAAGUGGUGGGAAGAACCUGAGGCAGCCUAACCCUUUCUGUGGUUCACUCAGGAUUUUCUCUUUGUCUGCUUGUUGUUUUGAGAGAGUCGCAUGUAGACCAGGCUGGCUUAAGGUGCUAAAUCCUACUUCAGUCCCCCUGGUUCUGGGAUUAUAGGGGUGUCCUUCCACAUUCAGAAAACUUACAUUUUUGAGGCGUGGACCCCAGGUUCAUGCUAAACAAGGGCUCCACCACUGAGAUAUGCCAGAGGCUGUUGCAUUUGUUUGUUUUUUCACGGAGUUCUUGCUGUGUAGCCUAGGCUAGCCCUGAAUUUCUCUAUCUUCCUGCCUCAGUUCCCUGUGCUAGGAUUAUAAGCGUUUACCGCCUGGCCUAGCUUGCUUUCCAUUCUUCUAAAUGGCUCCAGGGGGCAGCAAAAUGGCCCAGCAGGUAAAGGGCUUGUUACCAAGCCUUCUUAUAGAAGUUUGAUCCCUGGAACCUAUAUGAGGAGAAGAGAAAAUUAUUUUUUUUUUCCUUCACCUUUGUUUUUUCUCCUUGCUUUUUUAUUGCUUAAAAAAUAUUCAUUUUAUUUUGUGUAUGCAUUUUGUCUGCAUGUAUAUAUGUGCACCUGUGUAUGUCUAGUGUCUGGGGAGACCAGAGAGGGUCUUCAGAAUCCCUGGAACUGGAAUUAGGGAUGUUUGUGAGGUGCCAUGUGGGUGCUGAAAACUGAACCUGGAUCCUCUGCAAUAUCAAAAAGUGUUCUUAGUCUAUGAGCCAUUUCUCCAUCCUGCUCUCUCUUUUGAGAUAAGGUUUCAUGUAGCCCAAGAUGGUCAUGUACCUGAGGAUGACCUUGAACUGGUGAGCCUCCUGUCUCUACUUCUUGGAUGCUGAAAUUACUGGUUUGUGCCAGUGUACUCAAGCUCAAGUGCAGAUAUAGGUAUAGAUAGAUAUAGAUAUAUGAAUGAGACAUAGGCCAGUGAGAGGAGGGAUGUGGGAAGGGAAAUGAGGUAGACCGAGAGGAGCAGAGUGGGAAUUUCAUAAAAGGAGAAAGCUGAACUGUUAGCAUACUUUUGGGGAAAAAAAAAACUUUCAUUUACAUUUAUUAUAUCUUUUUUUCUCCCUACUCCACCCCAAUGCCUUCCAACACCCCACCACCAAGUCGGAGAGAGAAAGGGUUAGUGGGAGAGGGGGCGCAAUUUUCUUUCUUAGUUGCUUCCUGCUGGUUAGGGUUGUCGGGUUCCUUGGAGCCAGUCCAGUCCUUGUUUUAGGAGAUCUAAAACCUCUUGUUUGACAACAGCAACCAGGAGCAGCAAGGGGGAAGCAGGAGCAGCCUUGCUCUUUCUACCUGUGCCACACUCUCUGGGCUCUGGCGUUUAUUCUCUCUCCAGGGUCCUCAGAUUUAAACUAUUUGCAGCUGGCAAGGAUCUCCCCUCUGAGCCUGCAAGGAGCUCCCCUUCAAGCCUGCACGAGGCAAACUGUCUGCUGCUUGGACUAUCUGAAUCAGUCCCACACCUGGGACCCAAACAAAAACAUGUUUACAUCCACAACACUGAACUGGGAAGAAGGAAGAAGGAGCUGAAGAGAGGCCCCAAAGAUGGAGGUGGGACAAGCCCUCCCUGUUCUGAUUUUGCUUGUAGUCCUGGAGACGGUAUUUGGAAGGGGGCACCUCUAAAAGCUGUGCUGGUUUUCUGCUGGUGGGCCUGAAAACUCAGGAACUUUAGCACAGUGAGGUGUGACCCCAGUUUGUACUCACACCCCCAUAAAGCCCUAGCUGUCCUGGAACUUGCUCUGUAGACCAGGCUGGCCUCAGACUCACAGAAAUCCUCCUGCCUCUGCCUCCCUUUAGACACCCCACAGCAUCUUUGUCUUAAACACUAGGUAAUAUUUACUUGUUUCUGCUGCUAAGAAUAUUAUAUAAAAGUAUGUUUAAUGUCCCUAAACAUUAUAUUUAAUUUAACACACUCAUUUUAAUAUACAUUGUAAUUAAGGUAAGAAAAAAUAUACGCAUGAUAUGCAAACACAGCUGCACAUGAUAUGCAAAUGUAUACCUGCUGGUGAAAAUUCAAGUUCGUAUUUGCAUGUGUUAUACAAAAAUAUAUUUGCAUGUGAUAGCCAUGUGUAUGCGUGUAUGGUCCCUAUCUAUGCUGUGUGGGGUGAGUAGAAAGCUCUAGGUGGGCAGGGAUCUCUGGCACCUUUACCUGACUGGCCCUGGCAGCUAUUGCUGGAGAAGACCAGCCCUAGAGAUAGUCCUCUAGCUUUUUAUGAUUCCUUCUUGCCACCUUGCUAACCCAUAUGAAGGCUGCAUAUGAUUUGCAUAUAAUCUGCAUAUCUUACAAGUUUACAGGAUGUCAUGGUGGGUAUGUUUUUAUUACCAUAUAGUGGUGAAACCUUCCAGUGCUUUUGACUUCGUCCAACAGCUGUUUGUUUGGCAUUAGUAGUGACCCUGGGGUAUGCUUUAAGGGCCUUUAUCGUUGGAAAGUGGGUACCCAGAAGGCUUUUAUGAGGGGAGCUCUGUCAUCCAGCACUUCCACCUUGGACCUGUGUGUACCAUUUCCCAAGAUGGACUUAGGCUAUGUAAAAGCUGGAAAGAGAAUUAAACACCCGAGGAGGCAGCUGUGUGGGCUGGGGCUCUUACAGAACUGCCCAGACUGUGUGUGCAGCUUUCAUCACCUGCUAGUGUCUACAGAAAGAGUUGGCACAUUGGCUGUUAUUUUGUCACAUGGGGACUGGAGAUCAAACUCCCCAAUUUUCUCCUGCAUGGUUUGUCACUUCUGUAUCUAUUUCUUGUUGCUUUGAAGCUGAAUUAGCAAUGGGUGUGAAGAUUAUUACUUAAUCUACACUUCCAUGGAAAAUUUGAUCCUUCUAAGUGUCGAAGAUAAUUUGUACCAAACCAAACAAAACAAAACCAAAUAGCUUUUGUCCAAAAUGUUCCUGAGGUCACUCUGAUUUCAGCCAAUUGCCCAGGAGUGAUUGCGUUGGCACGUGUCAGUGGCCUGUUGGGCAAGCAUUGUUUUUAAUACCUGCCAUUAUACUUUGAACUUUGACAUGGACAUGGAGGGAAUGUACUGACUUCAUGGGCAACUCAGCACUGCCUUGCACUUGGACGCUCAUGGGGACUUUGGGGACAGACAAAGCAACAGAUUCUCAAAACCAGAAAGUUCGUGAGUUGAAGAGGCGGUGCACAGGAGGAACUGUUACAUAAAAGUGUCUCUGGUUUCCAGAACUUUCCAGAACUUCACUGGUAAAGUCUCCAUGUUAUCCUGUUGACAGCUGGAGAAGAAAAGCUCUGUUAAAUUCAGCCUGAUAGACCCUGCUGAUAAGCAGCCUUGAGAGGGGUUUUCCAGCCCACACCUGAUAGAAAGUUUCAGUAUAGGGGUGCUGAAGGGGAUCAUGCCGGGAUGCUGAAGCAAUCCCCAUUUGCCUUUGACUGGUACAAAGAAAGAAUGAGGUGUGCUGUAAGGACUUUGAGGCCCCUGAAGUAAAGUAGAACCCCCCAUUCUGUUGUGGGCGGCCUCAGUGCUUCAGGAACAGCAAGUGGCAUUUCUCAAGAAGAUGGAAUUUUCCUACUCUGUUGGCAGUAACAUCCGGGUGACACGUGUGCCACUCCUGUGCCAGGUUCCAGAAUCCGAAGAGCAGGAGGAAGCUGAGUGGUGACACUUGGAAGUGCUUUAGUCAUUCAUUAAGUCGUUGCUUUUGUCGAGCGGGUGUUGUGGCAACUUUAAUGAUUAACAGUGUGCAGUGCUCUGGAGCCUGCCGGCGGGAUGCUGGGGUCUGCUGCCUUGGUUUACCCCCUGGGGAUAUGGGAUGGACAUAGUGUGCUGGGUACCUGGCCUCUACCUAGACUGACUACAGAGCUAAGUCCAGGUCCAGCACUGUGUGUGCUGUUCUCACCACCCAGCCCUCUCCAGGCCAGCACUCUGGAACGGCCUGUUGGCCUUUGUGAUUUCUAUCACCUUGAUCAGUCCUGACUUGGGGGAUCCAGGUCAUUGUCCCACUAGCUGCCCACUCCCAGCAGGGCACAAAUUUCGGGACAGGAACAGCAAGACAGCCUCUGGCAAUUUCAGUUCCAAGCGCUAGGUUGUGUUGUUAGGGGUAGAUCAGAACUCUGACCUCCUCAGGGACACUCCCCACAUAAGACUCACACUGCUGUGAAGUAGUAUAGGCUAGGAGAAGCACAGAGCUCUAGGGAUUUGCUUAUCUACCUACCUUGUGCUGAGCUUACAAGGAUGCCGCCAUACCUGGCUUUUUAAAUGUGGCUGUGAGUUUGAACUCAGGUUCUCCUGCUUGUAUGACAAGUGUUUUAUUGGCUGAGCCAUCUCCCCAGCCUCCUACAAGAAAAAUUUUAAUAAGCCCUAAGACAUCUGAUUGUGGCCAUCUUUCUCCAGUACUCAAGGACCGACAUUGGUAUGUAUGUGAGUGCACACACACACACACCCACCCACAAACACACACACACACACCAUGGGGGUUACUUCGUGGAUAAGCACCUGUCUCUUUUUAUGAAUCAACCUCUAAAACUACUUUAAGGACCCCGUAAAUUACCCUCCCAUGUCAGCUUGGCCACCUGAGAGUGCUGAAUGCAUGCCCCUGCCUCCUUCCCACCUCAGAGCCCGUAGGAGGUUGGAGAAGACACAAGGUCUAGCUCCUGUAAGCAUGGACCUUAGGAAAAGGCUUGGGUUUGGCAGGAGAACGCUGGAGGAAUGUAAGCCAGGGGAGCAUUUUAGAAAUUUCUUUGGAUAGAAGAGAUAGCUCAGUGGUGAAGAGUGUAUACUUGGGCUGGAGAGAUGACUCAGAGGUUAAGAGCACUGGCUGUUCUCCCAAAGUUCCUGAGUUCGAUUCGCAGCAACCACAUGGUGGCUCAUAACCAUCUAUAGUGAGAUCUGGUGUCCUCUUCUUGCCUGCAGAUGCAGGCAGAAUACUGUAUAAAUAAUAAUAAAUCUUUGGAAACUUUUAUAAAAAAAAAAAGAAAGAGUGUGUACUGCUUUCCCAGAAGAUUCUAGGGCCCAUGGGGAAUGACUCACAGCCACCUGUGACUCCUGCAGCAGGGACCCCACACCGUCUUUGGGACUCAGCAAGUAUCUGCGCUCACACAUGUACAUACCGACACAGACAUAUACACAUACUUAAAAAUUAAAAUAGAUCUUUAAAACUCUUUGUGAGGGGGAAACUUCGCUGCCAGCCUAGGCUGUGUCGUGAGUGCAAAGACAGCGGGCUUUCACUGCUUGACACAGCCAAGGCUGGUGGCGAAGGAAGCCGCUCUCUGCGCGUUGGAUUUGAAAAUCUGGCCCGGGAGGAGGCCGGAUGUCAACUCCUCCCAUCCUGUUGUGUUACUUUACUCUCGCUCCAAGUAUAACUCACUCAGCCCUGGCCUGCAGCUUAGGGGGUCUUGUCCCCCUCUUUCCCACUGCAACCUUCUGGCCCUUUUCCUCUCUCAGAGAUGUCACUCAUAGGUCCCUAGAACAAACCUUUCCUCAGCCCGUGGCCAAGGACACCUGAUCGCCGUGUCAUGUGUCCUUGCCUUCCCAGCCGGCACCUCUACUCUACCUGUGCUGUGUGUUCCUCCGUUCUGAGUUCCUAGCUUCCCUGAGGGUUCAGACUCAAGAGGAGAGGGCCUGGUCGUUAUCUCCCCCUCACCCCCCCCCGCCUUAAAGGCGUCUGACUGACAUUCAUCGGUGGCACACAUCCAAGAGCUGGACACAUCCAAGACACUCAAGAGUGAAGGGCACCAGGCAGCACCCAGCAACCAAGAGGCGGCUUGAAGUCGCCUAAAUGCGGCCUCCCAGCUGUUGGCUGGGGGACUCCAUGACCUUGGCUGUUCCAGAACCUCUGUGGGGCAGACAUGAAGGUAGAGGACUCUGGCCUCCAUUGCUAACGUUACUCCCACACACCUUUGAUCUGUGCUAGAACUUUCUAUCAGGCCUGCUUCCUUCUGAGGAAUAUCCUCUGGCUUCUUGCCAGCAAUCGGUCAUGAUGCUGUGGACUCAGCUGCCUGUUAGCAAUUAGCCUGGACUUUAGUUUGUUUUUGAAAGAUGAAUUUAGAAGUAAUUUUCUAAUUAACCGUGGUUGUCAAGUAAAGGGGGGACAAAGUCUCCGUCUGGGCCCAGACAAGACCACAACGUGGCUGGCUGGAGCCUCUUGAGGGACCUGAGUGAUAAAUUCAAGGAACUGGUGGAUCAGAAACCAAUUAGCUUGUGGCUUCUGCUGCUAAUGGGGGAACAGCACCGGGCGGAGUGGGCUUGCUGGAGAGUGGAGUUCCGAUGGGCGAACUGUGGCAGUUGAGCUAGCAGAACUGAUGAAGGGACACGCUUCAAGGACUCCCGUGUUCUUAGGGCCAUCACAUCGUUCAUCUGCGUUUGAUGGAACGCUUCUGAGUUUGCAUUGUUGGUGCCUGGGUUAAAGAUGUAAUAGCUACCAGCAUCUGUUCUAGAUAAUAAAGCCUUAAGGCACGGGGAUGGGAGGGGGCAUUUGUCAUGGGGCUUAUAUCUAUGGGGGGACGUUUUUCAGAAUGGUUACUCCCUGCAAAACUGCUGCACGCAAGCCUGGCGAUAUUUAUAAGGCAGCUUCUGUGUUAUUGUUUGUGUGACUCUGGGCUCUCUUUCCCUUCCCCUGUACUGAGGACUGAACCUAGGUGCUCGCAUAAGGCCGGCAAACCUGUCACCGAGCUGCUUCCUAGACCUCUUGUUUUGUUUUGGUCUGAUUUUUUGAGACAGGGUUUCUCUGUGUAGCCUGUAGGCUGUCCUGGACUAGUUUUGUAGACCAGGCUGGCCUCAAACUCACAGAGAUAUGCCUGCUUCUGCUUCCCUGAGUGCUGGGAUUACAGGAAUGCGCCACUGUGCCCAGCUUUCCCAGCCCUCUUUUAACUUUUGUUUUGAAAUAGGAGCUCACAGGCUGUGAACUCAUGAUUCCUCUUCCUCAGCUUCCAGAUAACAGCUUGGGUGACAGGCCUGUGCCACUGAGCCUGGCUGUGAUUCUGCUUCCUUAAUAGUCUCCUGUGGUCAUGGGUUAAUGUCACAGGGCAACCAAUGUCACAGAGGGCCUGGGGGAGGGGGUCAUCUUGGUGUUGACUCUUGGCUUAGAGCUUGGCUGCCAGCUCAGGGUUUCAGAUGUCUGCUUCUUUCAGAUCUCUGUGGGGAGGUAACCAGACACAGAGGGCACUGGGGCAUCCAGAAGGGACCAGUUUCUUACUUGAAAACCAAAAGCACCAUGCCUCUAAGGUAGUAAAUGCCCACCCCUUGUAGCUAUUGCUAAAGAUACAGUCUCACAAUGGCUGGGUGGUGAGGUCUAGUCUUGAAGGCUUGCCCCAACUCCAUACCUUGAGUCUGAGAGUAUCUCUUGGGACUUCAUUGUGUAUUCCUGGCUGUUCUGGAACUUGCUCUGUAAACCAGGUUGGCUUCAAACUCAGAGAUCUGUUUGCCUUGGCCUCCCAAGUUCUGAGAUUAAAGAUGUGUGCCCAGCUAAUGUUAAUGGCCUUUUGUUUGUUUGUUUGAAAUUCUCUGUGUGUGUGUGUUUUUUUGAGACAGGGUUUCUCUGUGUAGUCUUGGCUGUCCUAGAACUUGCUCUGUAGAUCAGGCUGGACUCAAGCUCACAGAGAUGCACCUGUCUCUGCCUCCCAAGUGCUGAAAUUAAAGGUCUGUGCUGCUACUCCCUGUUUGUAUCUCUUGGUACUUGUCCCCUUGAAGGACAGAAUUCAGUCAGGAGACCUACAUGGAUUAAACAGAAGUUUACAUAAUAAAACCAAACAAAACAAACACAGAGAGUUGGAGUGUGCUUCCUUAAGGCAGGUAACAACCCAGUGAGUUACUAAGCAGUUAUUAAGCAGAGAAUUAUUAAGUUGUGAAUUGCAAAGACGUUUUUGGGAAUAUUUCUGAGGUGGGUGACUCUUCUGGGGGUGUGUAGAGUAUUGAUUAUAACUAGGUAAAUCUCUUCCUGCUUCUUGUCCUUCAGUUAUCACUUUCAAGACUCAACCUACAUUCUUUUUUUAAAAUACAUUUUUUCUUAAGAUUUAUUUAUUAUGUAUACAAUGUUCUGCCUGCAUGUACACCUGCACACUAGAAGAGGAUACCAGAUCUUCUUACAGAUGGUUGGGAGCCACCAUGUGAUUGCUGGGAAUUGAACUCAGGACCUCUGGAAGAGCAGCCAGUUCUCUUAACCUCUGAGCCAUCUCUCCAGCUCCUCAACCUACAUUCUUUUAUCCACUUGUGUGACUCUUUUCUGGGAAGAUGUGAACAUUUAAAUGUCUCCUCACUCCAGAUAGAAGAUGUAGAUAAGUGAAAAUGAAAAGAAAAUUAAAAGAAUCUACCCAAGUUAA